ACACUAUUACCAACCAAUUUUAGGGGUAAAAUUUUCAAAUUCAAAUUUCAAAUAUCAUUGAAUACUAUAUACUCUUUCACAUUUAUCACAUUUCAUUCUUACUCUUCUUUCUCUCACUACUUUUAUCUUUUUCUCUCAGUAUUUUUAUCUUUCUACUUGUCUGAUCUUCAUUUUUUCUCUUCUCAUCUUGCAGGAAAACUAUUCAUUUUUUGAACAACAACACAAGUAUACGAAAUUUGUUUUCUCUUUCACUAAAGAUUACCAACACUAAAACAAAGUUGAGGAUGUAAAUAUGAUCUGUAAAAAGUAUAUCAAUACUUAACAUUGAUCUUAAAUAUUGUUGGAUAGAAGACAAUGAAAAUUUAAAAAAAGGAAAAAGUUGAAGGUUGUCUAUGGUGAUGGAGAUCUAGAAGAAAAUGUCGCGGGUAGGAGAAAUAUAACAUAGAAAGAAAAAAAAUUGGUGAAAGGAAGAUAACUGAUAACUUGAGAAGAUGAGUUGCUGUUGUUCCUUGUCUUUCCCUUCUGCAUCUUUGAUUUUGCCGUUGUUCUUUUACAAAUGGAGGAGAUGGACAUCACUUUUACAAAUGGAGGAGAUUGAUUUUGUCAAAUAAAUUAAAAACAAAAAGAAACAUAGAGGGAAGAAAACGCAGAGGAAAGGUGGUGGUGGUGGUGGUUCAUUAGGACUCAGGAAGAAGAAAAAUGCGAGAGAUAGAGAUAGAUGUUUGAGCGGCGGCUAGGAUUAGAGAAAGUCAGAAAACUGAGUUACAUCUAAGGAGUGGUUAGGUUUUUUUUAUUUAUUUUAUGGGCUGGGCUGGGCAUUAAGCCCAAAUUAAGGCAUGUAUUUUGGGUCUGAAAGUACAAGUUUGAUUGUAUUUUUAUACGGGGAACAAAUUGCUUAGCCGUGUAUUUAUAGAUCUCGUGUGUUUCUAAAAAGUAUACUACACUAAUUUAUACGGGCAACAAAUUGUUGGUGAUGAAAAAUUUAAAUUAACUAUUAUUA